rnacentral:rRNA from 1 species
AACUAACCAGGAUUCCCUUAGUAAUGGCGAACGAACAGGGAAAAGCUCAAAUUUUAAAUCUCGGGCGCUUGCGUCCGCGAAUUGUAGUUUCCAGAAACGUUAUCCCCAGGAUGGCCGCCGGUCUAAGUUGCUUGGAACAGCAUAUCGAAGAGGGUGAGAAUCCCGUUUUCGGCCGGUGGCUCCCUGGCACGAGGCGUUUUCGAAGAGUCGGGUUGUUUGGGAUUGCAGCCCAAAAUGCGUGGUAAACCCCACGUAAAGCUAAAUAUUGGCACGAGACCGAUAGCGAACAAGUACCAUGAGGGAAAGAUGAAAAGCACUUUGAAAAGAGAGUUAAACAGCACGUGAAACCGUUAAAAGGGAAACGAAUGGAGCCAGCAAGGCAUCCAGAUUCAUUCAGCCGGUGGCUGGCCAACUCGGGUUCGGGGUGACCUUUACGGGCGCUCCGGGUUCGGCGAUGACCCGUUGCCGUGUGCACUUAUUCUGGGUGUGAGCCAACUUGGGCUGGAGACGGUUGACACGGUUCGGUGGGAAGGUAGCUCCCUCCGUGGGAGUAUUAUAGCCCCCGAUCCUGAAUCGUCCUCGGCUGAGGAGUUGCGGUACGUGCUCUCUCGGGCUUGGGCCCUGUGGGCGGUCGGUCGCGCCUUCUGUUGACUGCACGCAGUGAGCGGAGGGACGACGGCAGGCUUCCCGUGGGUGUCCCGUAAACGUACCCAGGAAGUUG